rnacentral:rRNA from 1 species
CUACGGGCGGCUGCAGUGGGGAAUAUUGGACAAUGGGGGAAACCCUGAUCCAGCAAUGCCGCGUGUGUGAAGAAGGCCUGCGGGUUGUAAAGCACUUUCGGUUGGGAGGACUGCUUCUAGCACUAAUAUUGUUGGAAGUUGACGUUACCUUCAGAAGAAGCACCGGCUAACUCCGUGCCAGCAGCCGCGGUAAUACGGAGGGUGCAAGCGGUAAUCGGAAUUACUGGGCGUAAAGCGCGCGUAGGCGGCUAGAUCAGUCGGGUGUGAAAGCCCCGGGCUUAACCUGGGCACUGCAUCCGAUACUGUCUAGCUUGAGUACAGGAGAGGGGAGUGGAAUUCCACAUGUAGCGGUGAAAUGCGUAGAUAUGUGGAGGAACACCAAUGGCGAAGGCAGCUCUCUGGCCUGAUACUGACGCUGAGGUGCGAAAGCGUGGGGAGCAAACAGGAUUAGAUACCCCAGUAGUC